rnacentral:rRNA from 1 species
GACGAACGCUGGCGGCGUGCUUAACACAUGCAAGUCGAACGGAAAGGCCCUGCUUUUGUGGGGUGCUCGAGUGGCGAACGGGUGAGUAACACGUGAGUAACCUGCCCUUGACUUUGGGAUAACUUCAGGAAACUGGGGCUAAUACCGGAUAGGAGCUCCUGCUGCAUGGUGGGGGUUGGAAAGUUUCGGCGGUUGGGGAUGGACUCGCGGCUUAUCAGCUUGUUGGUGGGGUAGUGGCUUACCAAGGCUUUGACGGGUAGCCGGCCUGAGAGGGUGACCGGCCACAGUGGGACUGAGAUACGGCCCAGACUCCUACGGGAGGCAGCAGUGGGGAAUAUUGCACAAUGGGCGGAAGCCUGAUGCAGCAACGCCGCGUGCGGGAGGACGGCCUUCGGGUUGUAAACCGCUUUCGCCUGUGACGAAGCGUGAGUGACGGUAAUGGGUAAAGAAGCACCGGCUAACUACGU